CCAUUUAAAAAAUAAAAAACAGAAGAUUUCUCUCAAACUCUCUCCCCCCUUCUAAACUCCGAUCAAUGUCCAGUCGUCGGACCACCGUGGCGACCGCCAGUCGCCGGCGAUAGCGCCGCCGUCUACGGUGGUCGAAAAAUCGAAAAAGGCCAUUUUUUUUGGCUUUUUGACUUCCCCAAUCCAAAAAUACCAUCUUUCAUCGGAGAUGGCGGCCUCAGCUCCCUCCAUGACGGUAUGGAGGCCACCUGUGGAUGUACGGAGGUUGACGUGGCGGUGGAGGCAGCAGAAGGGUGCGACGACAACUCUAGCCCUAAGGGUUUUUGUUUGGCUAAGGAUGUUAGAGUUUUGGGCCAUCGGGCUUGUAAAAUUUGAUGUAAAUGGACAUUGGACUUAUUUAAUUUAUUUGGAUUUGGUUUUUAUUUUUGUUUUUGGUUUCUGUAUGGUUUGGGCCCCGGGCAAAUUGGGCUUUCUACAUACACCAUUAAACCACUCAUUUAAUAAAUUAAAUAAGCACAUUCAAAUUGUA